rnacentral:tRNA from 2 species
GCAACGGUAGUUCAGUGGUAGAACACUCGCUUGCCAAGCGGGUAGCUCGGGUUCGAUUCCCGGCCGUUGCA